CGGACAGAGUGAUUAACAGUGAGAAGGCAUCGAUGCGUUUUUUAUGUCUGUCCGUUAAUAAAUACGGCUCCUGUUGAAGUUUACAAAACGUGUACCUUCUGGAUUUUUUGAGAAAUAUGUCGGCAGAUUUGUAUUGGAGCCUAUGGGGCUUUUAGCAGAGGUUGUGUGACCGUUGGUCUCCGUAGGCCAAAACUAAAGAACUCUGGGAUUCUAUGAGCACAUUAAUCCAAUCAGCACAGCCAUGUCCCCAUUAAUCUGAAGAAAUGAAGCCUCUAGAGUGUACACUUUGGCUGCAAGGACUGAAGUUCCAUAUUUUUUUAACCAGAUUCUGACGCUGCCUCACACUCUGAUCUCCGGGUCUCACUCUAGCAGACGCAAUACACACUCAUGUAAAAGUCAGAAACGGAGCGAAGAACUAGUGAAACAUAAUCAGUGAUUAUGAAAAAAGUAGAAUAGAUAUCAACAAGCUGUUUGUUUCGUGAAAUAGUUGAGACUUGUGUCAACAUUUGAAAGUUGAAAUGGUGUCUGUAGCUGAAAGAUUGGCGGAGCUGAAAAAUCUGAAAGUUGAAGAAGUUUAAGAGGAUUUGAAAACAAACUCCAUUGGAAAACCAUGUGAAGAAAUAUUCAUGAUUACUGAUUCAUAUAAAUCCAAGCUUAAAAGGUAGAAAGCUCAAAAGUCAUAGCUAGAAAGCCAGAAAGGAGCUGAAUAUUUUAAAAUGUGAACGGUUUUAAUAGCUGAAAGUGUGGAGGAGUUGAAAGGUGCAACGGAAGAAAUAGAAGAAGAAGAAGAAGAAGGCGGAAUAAAGAUUCGAAGAACAAUACUUGAAUGGUUAAUGCAUUCCAACAAUAAAUUGAUUUUGUAUGAUUAGUAACCAGGCACUAAAGCGAUAACACAUAAAACGUGCUUUGAACCAAUCCGAUUGCUUGGGUCCUAAGCUCGGACUCAUCUCUUCAGUAGGACUAAUUUGUUCACCACACCGUCUCUAUGGUUAGAAUCCUGCGUGUCCAUGGCAACGCUCUGCUUUGCAUGGCAACGCAGCGCUUAAAAAGGGGUGGGGCUACAUAAACUCUAUAAGCAAGGAAUCUGUCUGUAAGGAGUCUAUGUAUGUAUAUUAGCUGUUAAGGUCAGUGAUGGAGAGGGACAGUUUGAUGAUGACCCCUUCAGUCAUAUUGAUGAGGAGGGAGAGAAGGAGGAGCAGCAGGAGAGAGAAGGAGGAGAAGAGAGGAAGAGGAGCAGUAGGAGGAGAGAGAAGGAGGAGAAGAGAGGAAGAGGAGCAGCAGGAGAGAGAAGGAGGAGAAGAGAGGAAGAGGAGCAGCAGGAGGAGAGAAGAGGUGGUGAAGAGAGGAAGAGGAGCAGCAGGAGGAGAGAGGAGCAGGAGAAGAAAGGAGGAGCAGCAGCAGGAGGAGAGUGGAGGAGGAGCAGCAGCAGGAGGAGAAGAGAGGUAGAGCAGGAUCCAGGAAACAGACUGGUAGAGGGGCAGUGUGCAGGGCUGGGUGGGCAAUCAUAUUAGGCAUAUCAAUCAAUCAAAGCUUUAUUAAGGACACGCACACAAAAAUAGAAAAAUAAAGCACAAUGUUACAUAUGUUACAUAUUUACAUAUAGGAUAAAAUGCCGAUAGUUCCACAUACUAGAUAAUAACCUGACUGAAGCACAGAUUGAAUUACAAAAUGUAUUAUUCUUUGCCAUAUUUAUUACUCAUGUUCUUCUCAUGCAUAUGUUAUGUAGCUGUACAAUCCGUAAGCAGAUGCAGGGUCCAGCAUAGGGGAAGCUGAGGCAGGGAGAGUUGAAAGUGAGUACAUACACACACACACACACACACACACACACACACACACACACACACACACACACACACACACACACACACACACACACACACACACACAAUCUCUAUUGUAUGGAACUGAAUUGUAAUUUUUGAGUAUGAGUGGGUGUGAGUAUUUGUAACUAUUUUAACACUCCGACUGACUAUACACAUGACAUGAUGGUAGUUAGCAGUAUACUGUGUGACUUAUGUGUUUGAGAUUAGGUUUUGCUGACCUGGUUGUGUUCAGUGCAGUGGUGACUUGCUUAUAGAACCUGAGGAGGCAGGUGUUAUCCUAAAGUUUCUUGAAGGUCUUUAGCGUAAUCUGAUUGUCUUUAUACCAUAAAAACACUAUUAGAAUGAAAAUAACUGCAAAAAAUCCUGCUCGUGCACCAAGGGCAUUCGCAUAAAAGGCCUCUCCGACUUAGUCCCGGGCUGAAUUUCAGUCCCAGUACAUCCCUGGGUUGAUCCAUACUGGUUGUACACGGCGCUCAAGGCGCUCUGCCAAACAUGCCAAAGCUCAUCUACGACGGCGAGAUGCUGGACGGCGAGAUGCUGAGCGGCGCUCAAGCGCGUGAGAUAUGGAGCUUGUUUCAGGGCGCGUCGGAGAAACAAAGCUGUCGUUCUCGGCGAGCACUUCAUGAGAUUAAAGAGCGAGAGACGGCGCCCUUUUCUUUACAGUAGCUGAACCAUCUUAACGGGGAAAUAAGUUAUUCUAAAAGCAGCCGAAGAUUUAAGGCGUGGAUAGCGAGGGGGGCGGCGGGAGCGGACGCACCUCGCAGCAUCGAUCGGACCCUGAAAGCACCGUCUCCACCUUACUGUCAAAAAGAACAGCGAGCGCGUAGAAAACCCCUUCGAGCGCGAGCAGAGAUUCUCCUCGCGAGCAACGAAGUUCACGUUUCGCAAGCAAGCAAAUACCUCGCCGAGACGAACUUGCUCGCGGAUGUUUGAUUUUGGUUAAAUUCUUAAGGUCAUUUAAUCAUUAUUACAUUAUGUGACGGGUAGUAUCAAGGGGUCGGACUGACGUCAUCAGGUUUUACCGGCCGAGUGGAGUCCCUUCGGACGUCGUUGGGGAGGGUUCAGCUCCUCAGCCUUUCCAGGUGGCGCACAAACUGCUGUUUUGCCUUUUCGGAGAAGACACGGUGUUAUCAUGGACGAGGAGAUGCAAGAACUUCGGGAGAUGGUGCAAAGGUUGAAGGCAGAUAAUGAGCGGCUGUUACAGGAAAGACAGGCCCUUAACCCGGUCCCGGGCUCCUCGACCGCACCUCCCUCUGUCAACGAUGGUAGUCCUGACUCUGCGCAAAAACUCGAUACUCUCGGUAUGGAAACCCUACCAGGUCGCCACCCGUUGUUGAGCGUGUGGUGUACAUUCCCAAGGAUAAGUGUUCCACCUUUACAGGAGAAGGGGAGGUAUCAGUGAGGGAAUGGGUGGAUGAGGUGCAGUCAAAAUUACGCACACAUAGGAUGUCUAUUGUAGAACAGGCUAAUUUAAUUUAUGACCAUUUAGGAGGAUCAGCAAGAAAUGAGAUUUAAGUAUCGUUCUAGACAGGUCAGGAAGAUCCCAAACUAUUUUUUUCCAUCCUUCAGACUCAGUAUGGCUGUGCAGACUCACCUACUUUAUUGCAGAAUUUCCACUCUCAGAAACAGAAAGAAGAGGAGACAUUGCGUGAGUAUGCAAAUGCGCUAUUCUCUCUAAUGGAUAUUGUUAUACAACAUUCUCCUGACGGAGUUGCACAGGCAGCUAGCCUCUUACGUGAUCAAUAUGUUGAGUUUGUGUCGGAUGGGGGCGGCACGGUGGCGCGGUGGUUAGCACUGUUGCCUCACAGCAAGAAGGUCCUGGGUUUGAUUCCGCCCAGUGGCCUUUCUGUGUGGAGUCUGCAUGUUCUCCCCGUGUCUGCGUGGGUUCUCUCCGGGUUCUCCGGCUUCCUCCCACAGUCCAAAGACAUGCUCUGGGGAUCAGGUUAAUUGGGGACUUUAAAUUGCCCGUAGAUGUGUGAAUGGGAGUGUGAAUGGUUGUUUGUCUCUGUGUAGCCCUGCGAUUGGCCGGCGACCAAUCCAGGAUGUACCCUGUCUAUCGCCCGAAGUUGGCUGGGAUGGACUCCAGCCCCCCCGCGACCCUGUGUGCAGGAUAAGCGGUUUGACAAUGGAUGGAUGGAUGGAUGUGUCGGAUGGCAACCUUAGCCGUGCGCUGAAAGAACUUGUUCGUAUUAACCCCGCCUAUGAUCUCCAUGAUAUCCGUGAUGCAGCCGUCCGAUUGGAGCGAGAAGGUAGACCACGAGAAGGGAGGCCGAGAAGCUAUUCAGUCCCGUCGGUUUAUAGCAUCCAUCAGGGUGCUUCAGGUAGACCCGAAUGCAUGGGCCCCCAUGCCACUUUGAAGGCAGAGGUAGCCAAGCUACGGGAAAUGCUAAAAAGUCAGUGUUGGGGGAAAAUUGUUGAGCCUGCGUGGGGUGAGGCUCUCAGGAAUGUGACCUUUGAUGUGAGCCGGUGACUUAAGGCAGUCCAGGGUGAGAUAAGACACAGAUGAAAUCAUAUGUGCCCUGACUGACCUUUUAGAUGUUGAUUGUCUGGGUCCAUAAAGGGAGGGUCACGGGGUCACCCCUACAUCAUCUGGUACUUUUCCAACACUCCUCUUGAGGGGUGGGCUCUCCUGUCCUGAGGCAGCACAAACCCCCUAAGUAUAAAACCUCCUGUUCUUCUCUUUAACUUUGUCAGAUCUUCCUGCUCCUUUUGGGGGAAGGAACAUCUGUCGCUUUUCAGCUGAAUUGUAGUCAUUUGACUGUCUGUGCUUACGACUUGUGCUGAUGAUUUCUGUAUUCUUUAUCCUUUUCCUAUAUUCUAGUUAGUAAUAAAUACUUAAUCACAAAGCAAGCUCAAGAUACUUUUGAUUUCUCACAUGGGCUAAAUCCACAAAUUUCCACCACAGUCAGCAGGAGCAGUUUAUGCAGUUUUCUAAAACAUUGUCGGCCUUAAGCGUCCCUAAGCACCCUCAGUUUCAAUCUAGGGGUGCAUUCAUCUGUAGGCAGUGGCAACAGCCAGGCCAUUUCGCUAGGGACUGUGAGAAUGGCAGCCCCCCAAUCUGUACAAUUCCACCCUUCUGGACGGGAUGGGCCAAGGUUCUCGCAGCCGCCGUCGGAAAACUAACACCCUCUGACGGGCAGAGCCGGCAAUCAGAAGGGGUCAUGUUAGGCUCGGAUAGCAUAGUUCAGAUCGACCCUGAAUCAAUCUCUAAGUUGGUACAUCCUUGCCCCCAUGUUGUUGUCCAUAUCGCGGGGGUGGGAGUUUCCUGGUUGUUAGACACUGGAUCAAUGGUAUCCACCAUAACUGAAAGCUUCUUUAUUCAGCAUUUCCAGUCGUGGGGUCAGGAGAGGCUGCAGUCAUGCAGAUGGUUGCAGCUCAGAGCAGCUAACCAUCUAGACAUCCCCUAUGUUGGUUACUUAGAGUUAGACGUCACAGUGCUUGGCAAGGUGAUUCCAAAAUGUGGCAUUCUCAUUGUUAAGGACCCCUGCAAUCCUUACCCAAACCAGAUUACCCAGGUGUCCUGGGAAUGAAUGUUAUUGGUCAGUGUUUCGAAGAACUGUUUGGCCAACACGGAUUGGGCAUGUUUGACCUAUUAAGGAUGCGAAUAGCACCAGGCCUUGCAGUACUGUCAUCAAGGGCACCUCACACCACAGGCUGAGAAAGUAGGGGCAGUCAGAGUUAGAGGUAAGGCCAGAGUUUGUGUCCCGGCUGCCACCAUGAAACUAGUGGCAACCACUUGCUCCCAGGGAGUCUUUAAUCUUCGUGGCUCUGUACUAUUCCAACCCCCCUGAGAAUAGCAACCUCACCGGUGGCUUAUUGUUGGCACCAGCUAUCGUAAAGGUCGCACAAGGCACAGUGUACAUCCCGUUUGUUAAUGUA
ensembl:lncRNA